AAGUCGUAACAAGGUUUCCGUAGGUGAACCUGCGGAAGGAUCAUUAUUGAAGCUCUUGGAGCGGGUUUGAAGCUGGCUGUAAUGGCAUGUGCUCGACCCGUUACCAUAUCCGCUCAACCCCUGUGCACUAUCGAGAGUAAGGUCGCUUCGGGUGGCUUUGGCCUUCGGGUCGAAGUCUCCUGGCCUUACUCUACUCAUUACAAACACCUUGAAGUCUUGUAGAAUGUCAUAAUGGAAAUUUAAAACAACUUUCAACAACGGAUCUCUUGGCUCUCGCAUCGAUGAAGAACGCAGCGAAAUGCGAUAAGUAAUGUGAAUUGCAGAAUUCAGUGAAUCAUCGAAUCUUUGAACGCACCUUGCGCUCCUUGGUAUUCCGAGGAGCAUGCCUGUUUGAGUGUCUUGAAAUCAUCAACCCUCUGGACUUCUGUCUGUGAGAUGUUGGACUUGGGGNCUGUCGGCCUUGCGGUCGACUCCUCUUGAAUGCAUUAGCGGAGACCCGCCUUUAGACCCGUCGCGGUGUAAUAAUUAUUAUCACUCGCAUUGGUGUCUUGGUGGUGNNCGCUUCUAAUCGUCUUCGGACAACACUUUUGUUCAUUGACCUCAAAUCAGGUAGGACUACCCGCUGAACUUAAGCAUAUCAAUAAGCGGAGGAAAAGAAACUAACAAGGAUUCCCCUAGUAACUGCGAGUGANGAGGGAUGAGCUCAAAUUUAAANUCUGGCGGUUUUGCCGUNCGAGUUGUANUCUGGAGAAGCGUUUUCCGCGUUGGACCGUGUACAAGUCUCUNGGAACGGAGCGUCAUAGAGGGUGAGAAUCCCGUCUUUGACACGGACUNCCAAUGCUUUGUGAUACGCUCUCGACGAGUCGAGUUGUUUGGGAUUGCAGCUCAAAACGGGUGGUAAAUUCCAUCUAAAGCUAAAUAUUGGCGAGAGACCGAUAGCGAACAAGUACCGUGAGGGAAAGAUGAAAAGCACUUUGGAAAGAGAGUUAAACAGUACGUGAAAUUGUUGAAAGGGAAACGCUUGAAGUCAGUCGCGUUGUCCGGAACUCAGCCUUGCUUCUGCUCGGUGUACUUUCCGUUCGACGGGUCAACAUCGGUUUUGGUCGGUGGAUAAAGGCUUGGGGAAUGUGGCACCUCCGGGUGUGUUAUAGCCCCUCGUCGGAUACGCUGGCUGGGACUGAGGACCGCAGCACGCCUUUUUGGCCGGGGGAUUCGUCCUCACGUAACGUGCUUAGGAUGUUGGCAUAAUGGCUUUAAGCGACC
rnacentral:rRNA from 1 species